rnacentral:rRNA from 1 species
GACGAACGCUGGCGGCGUGCUUAACACAUGCAAGUCGAGCGGAGCGGCGAACGGGUGAGUAACGCGUGAGUAACUGCCCCCCUCUCUGGGAUAACAGUUGGAAACGGCUGCUAAUACCGGAUAGUGGGGGAUGACUCGCGGCCUAUCAGCUGGUUGGUGGGGUAGUGGCCUACCAAGGAGACGACGGGUAGCCGGCCGGAGAGGGCGACCGGCCACCUUGGGCUGCGAUACGGCCCAAACGCCGACGUGGGGCAGCAGGGGGGAAGAUGUCACAAGGGGGGAAGCCCUGAUGCAGCAACGCCGCGUGCGGGAUGACGUUCUUCGGGUUGUAAACCGCUUUCAGCCAUGACGCGGUAGUGGCAGAAGAAGCACCGGCUAACUACGUGCCAGCAGCCGCGGUAAUAC